AUCCAGUUGACGAGUCCCAUAUAGGAUAAAACGCGCAUCCUGGAU
rfam:Schistosoma rodhaini strain Burundi genome assembly, scaffold: SROB_scaffold0004797